UGGUAAUGAAGCGAAAGCUAAGUGACCGCAGGAGCUAGCACAGGUGCUGCAUGGCUGUCGUCAGCUCGUGUCGUGAGAUGUUCGGUUAAGUCCGCUAACGAGCGCAACCCUCGCUGUGUGUUACAAGUGUCACACAGGACCGCCGGUCUUAAGCCGGAGGAAGGUGGGGAUGACGUCAAGUCAGCAUGGCCUUUAUGUCCAGGGCUACACACACGCUACAAUGGUCAGCACAAUAGGUAGCCAAGCCGCGAGGUGGAGCCAAUCCUCAAAGCUGGCCUCAGUUCAGAUCGCAGGCUGCAACCCGCCUGCGUGAAGCCGGAGUUGCUAGUAACCGCAGGUCAGCUAUACUGCGGUGAAUACGUUCCCGGGGCUU
rnacentral:rRNA from 1 species